CUACCGAAACGCCGUCUGGCGAGCGGAAAAGCCACGUCACUCGGUCCGCCAUCACUGUCGCCAUUGCCAUCACUAAGCAUAUAAAACCUGGCCGGCUCCGAUACCACUCACACGCCCCUCGAGUUGAAAAAAGAAAGGAGAGGAUUUUGUUUGAUCCAUAUUGUCUUUCUUCCUUCUUGAUUUUUUUUCUUUUCUCUUUUUUUCUUUUCUAACAAUUUCCUUCUCUGGACUGUCGUCUGUUUCUUUGGAAAAACAAUAUAUUCGUCUGCAUCUUCUGACAGUGUUUAUAUAAAUAUUACCAUAAAGCAUAUUUAUACGCACGUACAAGCAUAUGUGUAUAUAUAUAUAUAUAUAUAUAUACAUAAUACAACACAUUUACACAUGAGUAGUAUAAAUUAUAUAUAUAAACAUAUUUAAUUAUCAAUCGCUGUUUCUUUGAACGAUACGACAAUAACAUAAUCCCAGCCGGUUUCAAAUCGAAGCCUCGCCAGUGUUUGUUGUCGUGUAGUGACUGACUUCCUGCACUUGUUUGUUACUGUGAUUUUUAAUUAUUAUAACUACUUGUUUUUUGGGGGGAAUUAAUUUUUUUUAGGUGGGUGCUUGUUGAAUAUUUAAAUUUUCCUUUUCUAGUUACUGUUAUUAUAAUUAAAUAGUUAUAAAUGGAGUGUCUUGCGAGUACUUCGUCGACUUCAAUGUUCGUGUUUGUGACAGGACUGCUAUGUCUUUUCAAUGUGCAUACCGUACUGUCCGGGGAACUUACGUUUGAGUUACCGGAUAACGAACGUAUGUGUUUCUUCGAGAGUAUUAAAGAAGGCCUCAAAAGCACACUGGAGUUCCAGGUAAUAACUGGUGGUAGUUAUGACGUUGAUAUGGAACUUUCAGCACCAAGUGGUCAGAUAUUAUACAAAGACACUAAGAAACAGUAUGAUACCUUCACGUGGACAGCUGACCAGACUGGCGUGUAUAAAUUCUGCUUUAGUAAUGAGUUCUCCACAUUCUCCCACAAGGUUGUCUACUUUGACUUCCAGGUAGGCGACAAGCCUCCUCUGACUGCUGAAAUUGACUCACAUGCCACGGCACUGACUUUGAUGGAGCAGACUUCAGUGAAUACACAUGCACAGCUGAACACCAUUGCUGACUAUCAGACUCACUUCAAGCUGCGGGAGUCCAGUGGGCGAGCUUUUGCUGAGUUCCUGAAUGAGAGAGUAUUUUUUUGGUCAAUAUGUGAGACAGUGGCAGUGAUUGUUGUUGGAAUUGGCCAGAUCAUAGUUCUGCAUAGCUUCUUCACAGACAAACGUCCAGCUAACACGAUACAGUCAUGAUAGCUGCACUUAGGGCCUUACCCUAAUACAUGUAUAAUUAUCUAUAAUAUAAUAUAUAUAUAUAUAUAAUAUAUUUCAAGCUCAACCUCUCUCAUGUAUAUAUGUAU
rnacentral:misc_RNA from 1 species